rnacentral:lncRNA from 1 species
GGAAAUUGUCCCUUGAAAGGUUUGAAUUCAGAGCAUUUAUUCUCCAUUAAUUUCAAGCAGACUCUAAAUUGAGCAAAACAGUUCCUGUCUUUCCUUUUAGUUGCAGGUUUUAGCUGACAAAUGGAUGCCAGGGCUGUCCAGCUUGAUUGCAGCCAUUGAGACAUGCCAAUUUCAGCAAAUGUGCUCAUCUCUGCGACUCACGUCCUUCCAGUUGGAGUCUGGGCUCCGCUGAGCGUGGUUGGUGUGGGAGUGUGGCGUUCACGGCGAAGCCCCCCCUGCUGAGGCAGACGGUGCACCUAAGUUGCUGAGCAGCACUGGGAGAGACCCAGGGAUGGCCAGGGAAGGGGUCAAGGGGCUCUGUGCUGAAUGGAGGAGGCCAUUUGGGCCAAAGAGUCCCACCCUGCACCCUGCUCCCACCCACAAAGGGCUCUCUCUCUUGCUGCACAGGGUAGUGUUGGGGCCAUUGGCAGCAUCAGGACUUCUCCACAGCAUGGUCUAGGUGGUCCCUGUCAGGGUUGGGGACAUGAAGCUGUUUCUGUCACACUGUUCAGGAGGGAGCAUGCAGCAUGCCAGCCAGUGCUUCAGGACCACAGAACACAGCUGGGACGUCGGGCUCUCUCUGUGCUGUGUGGGGACGUCUAACUGGACACUGGUGUGAGGCUUCCCACCCUGCUGGGGAAGGUCCACAGUGGUGGCUGGCAUUCUCCACUGGCGGAUUUCCCCCGCUAGCCUGUCCUUCUAACCCCUUCACCUUUGACCCAAGUACUAACAUCCGUCUUACCAGCUCAGAGGGGUCCAGGCAGAAAUGACUCGAUAUUUUCUGAUCACUCUCAGUGUGUGGCCCCGCUCUUGCCUCCUGAUGACAUCUUGGAGGAUUCCACAGGUUUCUGGUCACUUCUGUUCAGGAACAAGGCCAGGCAAAUCCACCCUGAACUCCAGUCUCUUCUUCUUCCCUGCCCUGUGAGACUUUAGAGACUUACAGCGAGGAAGGUGGGGUUCAGAUUUCAUGGCCUCCCCUCCCUUCCGGGGUCUUUGUCUCCCUAGUAUGAGCAGGUAGGGAGGCCAGGUAUGAAAAGGGACACAAGUCUCUCAGGCACCUGGCUGCUGUUAAGGACCCUUGGUGGUGUGGAAUGCAGAGGGAAACCAGGACAAAAGGCCACCUUGGCCGGCAUUUCAGAAUGGACCGGCAGCCAUCAGGACCAGGACUUAGGCAUAGGUCAGGUGGCUGACGGGGAACCACCCCCUGGGCUGGGCACAUUUGAACUGUGAGCGUGAACGUCUGAACUGGGCCAAGUCUGCAAACCCUGUGGCCGUGCCUCAGUGAACUCUGCUGUCCAUCACUUCCCAGCCCCCGGGAGCCCAGUGGGCGGCUCCUCCACACCACAUGCCUGUGCGGGGAGCUCCUGGAAUCUCUUCUGUGCCUGUGUCUCCUUCCCUGUGAAAACCCUGUGCAAUCCCAGCUUCCUGGAGCGAGUGCUCAGGCAGACCUGUCUGAACUGGUGUGUCCCCUGCUGCAGUUCCCGUGACCCCAAAUCUCUAUCGCCUUGCAGCUCCUGAGUUUGAACUGGAGACAGCUGUGGCUGCUGGCACGUGCCCUCUCACGGCAGACACCCAGUGCUGGCUUCUGAUCAGUGCCCCCCUGAGAUGCCUGGAGGGCCACGCCAGGGCCUCUCCACACCCCUGGUGUGGGAGACACUUCAGCUCAGCCUGGUACCCACCAUCUCACUCUGCCCUGGCAGUCCCUUAUGCCUUGGGUCCCCUUGCCCACGGGCCUCCCCUUGGCUGGGCACCAGCAAGCUCACUCAAGCCCAUUCCUGGAGCAGUGUCCACGGGACCUGGGGCAGGCCUUGGGUAGAGGCAGGGGCUCUCCUGACCACCACCCUACUCUGCCAUCUUCUCCCCAGUGCUCAAAAGAGCUGGAGGCUGGACUGGCCCUUAGGUGAGCC